rnacentral:rRNA from 1 species
AUUAAGCAUAUCAAUAAGCGGAGGAAAAGAAACUAACAAGGGAUUCCCCUAGUAACUGCGAGUGAAGCGGGAAGAGCUCAAAUUUAAAAUCUGGCGUGCCUCUGGUCGUCCGAGUUGUAGUCUGGAGAAGCGUUUUCCGUGUUGGACCGUGUAUAAGUCUCUUGGAACAGGGCGUCAUAGAGGGUGAGAAUCCCGUCUUUGACACGGACUACCAAUGCUUUGUGAUGCGCUCUCAAAGAGUCGAGUUGUUUGGGAAUGCAGCUCAAAAUGGGUGGUAAAUUCCAUCUAAAGCUAAAUAUAGGCGAGAGACCGAUAGCGAACAAGUACCGUGAGGGAAAGAUGAAAAGCACUUUGGAAAGAGAGUUAAACAGUACGUGAAAUUGCUGAAAGGGAAACGCUUGAAGUCAGUCACGUCUGCCAGGACUCAGCCUUGCUUCUGCUUGGUGUACUUUCUGGUUUGAUGGGCCAACAUCAAUUUUGACCGUUGGAGAAAGGCUUUGGGAAUGUGGCACCUUCGGGUGUGUUAUAGCCCUUUGUUGUAUGCAACGGUUGGGAUUGAGGACUGCAGCACGCCUUCAUGGCCGGGGCUCGCCCACGUACGUGCUUAGGAUGUUGGCAUAAUGGCUUUAAGCGACCCGUCU